rnacentral:rRNA from 1 species
CGCUGGCGGCAUGCUUAACACAUGCAAGUCGAGCGGCAGCACGGUCUAGCUUGCUAGACAGGUGGCGAGUGGCGAACGGGUGAGUAACGCGUAGGAAGUAUGCCUGUGAAGUGGGGGACAACUUGGGGAAAGUCAAGCUAAUACCGCAUAAGGUCUACGGACAAAAGCUGGGGGACCUUGGGGCCUGGCGCUUUAAAGUUAGCCUGCGUCCGAUUGGCUAGUUGGUGGGGUAAGGGGCCUACCAGGGCGACGAGCGGUAGCGGGUCUGAGGGGAUGACCAGCCACACUGG